rnacentral:rRNA from 1 species
UAGGGAAUCUUCCACAAUGGGCGCAAGCCUGAUGGAGCAACACCGCGUGAGUGAAGAAGGGUUUCGGCUCGUAAAGCUCUGUUGUUAAAGAAGAACACGUAUGAGAGUAACUGUUCAUACGUUGACGGUAUUUAACCAGAAAGUCACGGCUAACUACGUGCCAGCAGCCGCGGUAAUACGUAGGUGGCAAGCGUUAUCCGGAUUUAUUGGGCGUAAAGAGAGUGCAGGCGGUUUUCUAAGUCUGAUGUGAAAGCCUUCGGCUUAACCGGAGAAGUGCAUCGGAAACUGGAUAACUUGAGUGCAGAAGAGGGUAGUGGAACUCCAUGCGUAGCGGUGAAAUGCGUAGAUAUAUGGAGGAACACCGGUGGCGAAAGCGGCUCUCUGGUCUGUAACUGACGCUGAGGCUCGAAAGCGUGGGGAGCGAACAGGAUUAGAUACCCUGGUAGUCCACGCCGUAACGAUGAGUGCUAGGUGUUGGAUCCUUUCCGGGAUUCAGUGCCGCAGCUAACGCAUUAAGCACUCCGCCUGGGGAGUACGACCGCAAGGUU